UUCAUCACACUCAAGUUUUCUUUAUUACAUUUUCUCUCCUCAGGCCCUACAGAUUCAGGACCACGGCCAGCACCCACACUGCCUUCCGUAAACACUGAGCUAAACCUAGAGCCUCGGUGAUGAGAUCAGCCCUGCCUUUGUAAGUUGGUUUUCUCAACAAACAUCAACUGAACAUCUACUAAGCAUAAGGGAAACUAAGCCCUGUUGAGGGCUGGGAAAUCCUACUGGGUGAAAAUCUGGGAGUGUUUGGCUGGAAAGAGGAGAUUUGGGGACACAGCUGUUGUCUUCAUCCAUCCAAGGGAGUAUUGUGGACGGAGAAGCAGGCUUAUUGUAUUGGACUUCAGAGGGCUAAACUAGACUCAGUAGGUGGAAGUGACAGCGCGGCAGAGAAAUCCAUCAGAUUUGAGAUCAAAUUUCGGAUCAAGCAUUUUCUGAAGAUGUCCGCAGGCAAGUCUCUGAGCCUCCAUGUCCACAUUUUUAAAAGGAAGUAAAUGA
rnacentral:lncRNA from 1 species